rnacentral:rRNA from 1 species
CUACGGGGGGCAGCAGUGGGGAAUAUUGGACAAUGGGCGAAAGCCUGAUCCAGCCAUGCCGCGUGUGUGAAGAAGGCCUUCGGGUUGUAAAGCACUUUCAGUGGGGAAGAAAGCCUUGGGGCUAAUACCCUCGAGGAAGGACAUCACCCACAGAAGAAGCACCGGCUAACUCCGUGCCAGCAGCCGCGGUAAUACGGAGGGUGCGAGCGUUAAUCGGAAUUACUGGGCGUAAAGCGCGCGUAGGCGGUCUGAUAAGCCGGUUGUGAAAGCCCCGGGCUCAACCUGGGAACGGCAUCCGGAACUGUCAGGCUAGAGUGCAGGAGAGGAAGGUAGAAUUCCCGGUGUAGCGGUGAAAUGCGUAGAGAUCGGGAGGAAUACCAGUGGCGAAGGCGGUCUUCUGGACUGACACUGACGCUGAGGUGCGAAAGCGUGGGUAGCAAACAGGAUUAGAUACCCCAGUAGUC